rnacentral:rRNA from 1 species
UACAGGGGGAGCAAGCGUUAUCCGGAAUGAUUGGGCGUAAAGCAUUCGUAGGUGGUAGGUGAAGUCUACUGUCAAAUACCAGGGCUCAACCUUGGACAGGCAGUGGAGUACUCAUUUACUAGAGCGUGGUAGAGGUAGAGGGAAUUCCCCGUGGAGCGGUGAAAUGCGUAGAGAUCCGGAAGAACACCGGUGGCGAAGGCGGUCUGCUGGGCCAAGACUGACGCUGAGAAGCGAAAGCAUGGGGAGCGAACAGGA